rnacentral:rRNA from 1 species
AUGGAUCAGGAUGAGACGCCGAUCGCGCUGGAGGACGGGUGGCGGGACAUGGAGGCCGGCAUCGCCAGGCUCAAGCGCAUCCUCCACGGCGUCGACGGCACCAGCUUCACCUCCCAGGAGUACAUCAACCUCUACACGUACAAUCAUUUUCAACAUGUGCCGCAGAAGCCGCCGUACGACUACUCGGAGCAGCUCUACAAGCGCUACAAGCAGGCCCUCGAAGAGUACAUCAAAUCCACCGUCUUGCCCUCGUUGACGAGCAAGCACGGUGAGUUCCUGCUGAGGGAAUUGGUGGAGAGGUGGAAGAACCACAAGGUGAUGGUCAGGUGGUUGACCAGGUUCUUCCACUACCUCGACCGCUACUAUGUUUCGCGCAAGUUGCUUCUGCCGCUCAAAGAGCUCGACUUGAGCUGCUUCCAUGAUCUAGUUUUCGGCGGGCUGAAAACAACAUUGACGACGAUUGUUAUCGACAUGGUUGAUAAUGAGAGGGAAGGCCAGCUUAUAGACCGUGCUCUUCUGAAGGAUGUUGUUGGUAUCUAUCUCGAAAUUGGACAGGGAAGUGUGAGUCUCUAUGAGCUUGAUUUCGAAAAAGCUUUUUGCAAGGGUACCACAGAUUACUAUUCUAAAAAGGCACAAACCUGGAUGCUGGAGGAUUCCUGCCCCCAGUACAUGCUCAAGGUGGAGGACAGCUUACAGAAAGAGAAAGAGCGAGUAGGCCAUUACUUGCAUGCUUCAACUGAAGAGAAGUUGCUAGAGGUUUUUAAUCAAGUGUUGCUUUUAGAUGGAAAGUCUGAGGAUCUAUCAAGAAUGUACAGGCUCUUUUCCAAGGUAGACGCUGGGCUGUUUCAUGUAUCGAAAAUAUUUAAGGAGCAUGUCAAGGAAGAGGGCAUGUCCUUGUUGAAACAUGCAGCAGAUGCUGCCAACGGCACAAAGGAAUUUGUGCGGAAAGCGAUUGAGCUCCACGACAAACAGCUAGCAUAUGUCACCAACUGUUUCCAAGACAACUCAGCAUUUCAUAAGGCUCUUAAGGCGGCCUUCGAAGACUUCUGCAACAAAGAUGUUGCUGGUUGUACUAGUGCUGAGUCGCUUGCAUCAUUCUGUGAUAGCAUCUUGCGGAAAGGUGGAAGCGAAAAGCUAAGCGACGAAGUUGUAGAAGAGACCCUUGAUAAGGUUGUGACCAUUCUCACAUACAUCAGCGAUAAGGAUCUCUUUGUUGAGUUUCACAGGAAGAAGCUUGGAAAGAGAUUGCUCUUUGAUAAGAGUGCCAAUAAUGAACACGAGCGAAGCCUCCUUUCCAAGCUCAAGCAGUACUUUGGGGGACAAUUUACUUUGAAAAUGGAGAACAUGAUCAAUGACGUGACAACAGCAAAAGACCAUCAGACAAAGUUUGAAGACUACAUGAGCAAAAAAUCAUCAGAUCAUCGGGUAGACUUCAGUGUUACUGUUCUGCAGACAGGAAGCUGGCCAAGUUACAAAACCUCAAACAUAAAUCUUCCUUCCGAGAUGAUUAAAUGCGUCGAGAAUUUCAAAGAUUAUUACAAUUCCAACCAGAAAUCCAAAAGGCUUACUUGGGUCUAUUCCAUGGGAAAUUGCAAUAUCGUUGCAAAGUUUGACGCCAAACCUUUUGAGCUGAUUGUUACAACAUAUCAGGCUGCAAUGCUUCUGCUAUUCAAUGGAUCUGAACGACUAAGUUACUCUGAGAUUGUGACGCAACUAAAUCUGCCCGAUGACGACGCCAUGCGCCUGCUCCAUUCACUCUCAUGUGCAAAGUAUAAGAUUCUUAACAAAGUGCCAAGCAACCGAACAAUUUCUCCAAAUGACGUCUUUCAGGUCAACCACAAAUUUACUGACAAAAUGAGGAGGAUAAAGGUACCACUUCCUCCUACCGACGAGAAGAAGAAGGUUGUCGAGGAUGUCAACAAGGACAAGAGGUUCUCGAUCGAUGCGAGCAUCGUGCGCAUCAUGAAGAGCCGCAAGGUCAUGGGCCAUCAGCAACUCGUUGCGGAGUGCGUUGAGCAGCUCAGCCGCAUGUUCAAGCCUGACAUCAAAAUUAUCAAGAGGAGGAUCGAGGAUCUUAUCAGCAGGGAAUACUUGGAACGAGACCUUGAGACUGCAAACACCUACAGAUACUUAGCUUGA